CAAAGGUAACCGGUAGGUGACUGUUGAAUCGACAGUAGUUACGAAAGGGGGAAAUAGCUCAGUUUGGGCUUGGAAGCAGCCAUCCUUUGAAGAAAGCGUAAUAGCUCACUGGUCUAGCUCCAUGGCACCGAAAAUGUCUCAGGGCUCAAGUGAUUCACCGAAG
rnacentral:ncRNA from 1 species